GGAACAAGAACUACAGGCACUUGCUAAACCACUUCCUUCCCAUUUGGAGGAGACAGGACUCUGGACAUCCAUGGAGCUCUGGUUCCGAGCAAAGGGCGGGUUGUCAGUAAAGCUUGUGCCACUGAGAAAGGAGUGAAAGGAAUCAAGGCUUCUGGAAGAAACGGCCCAGUCCAGUUUGGGGGCAAAAAGUGUGUGAUGUGAAUCUGGAGAGUCUUCAUACAGUAGAGGGCGAAGAUACUUCAGAGGCCGGGGUGCUGUGUCAGAAGGGCUCAGAAUCACAUGGAAGACGCUGCUUCUGUCCAAGGUGGGACACUCAGCACUAAUAAGACCACAGAUAUUACACCAACUACGGUUAAAUCCCUUUUCCCUACAAAAUAAAACUCAUUGCCAUUUUGAAGGAUGCUAGGGUCCACUUUAUUUUUUGAGACAAAGAGUCUCACCAUUCCAUCUAGCUCUA
rnacentral:lncRNA from 1 species